rnacentral:rRNA from 1 species
UACAGAGGUCUCAAGCGUUGUUCGGAUUCAUUGGGCGUAAAGGGUGCGUAGGCGGCGCGGUAAGUCGGGUGUGAAAUCUUGGAGCUUAACUCCGAAACUGCAUUCGAUACUGCCGUGCUUGAGGACUGGAGAGGAGACUGGAAUUCAUGGUGUAGCAGUGAAAUGACGUAGAGAUCAUGAGGAAGACCAGUGGCGAAGGCGGGUCUCUGGACAGUUCCUGACACUGAGACACGGAAGGCCAGGGGAGCAAACGGG